rnacentral:rRNA from 1 species
GGAUUCCCCUAGUACUGCGAGUGAAGCGGGAAAAGCUCAAAUUUGAAAUCUGGCGGUUUUUGACUGUCCGAGUUGUAAUCUAGAGAAGUGUUACCCGUGCUGGACUGUGUACAAGUCUCCUGGAAUGGGGCAUCAUAGAGGGUGAGAAUCCCGUCUUUGACACGGACUGCCAGUGCACUGUGGGUGUGCUCUCGAAGAGUCGAGUUGUUUGGGAAUGCAGCUCAAAAUGGGUGGUAAAUGCCAUCUAAAGCUAAAUAUUGGCGAGAGACCGAUAGCGAACAAGUACCGUGAGGGAAAGAUGAAAAGAACUUUGGAAAGAGAGUUAAACAGUACGUGAAAUUGCUGAAAGGGAAACGCUUGAAGUCAGUCGCGUUGGCCAGAAAUCAGCCUUGCUUUUGCUUGGUGUACUUUCUGGUCUUUACNGGUCAGCAUCAAUCUUGACCAUUGGAUAAAGUCUGUGGGAAUGUAGCAUCUUUGGAUGUGUUAUAGCCCAUGGUCGCAUACGGUGGUUGGGAUUGAGGAACUCAGCACGCCCUUCUGGGAUGGGCUUCGGCCACAUUCGUGCUUAGGAUGCUGGCAUAAUGGCUUUAAUCGACCCGUCUUGAAACACGGACCAAGGAGUCUAACAUGCCUGCGAGUGUUUGGGUGGAAAAACCCAUGCGCGUAAUGAAAGUGAAAGUUGAGAUCUCUGUCAAAGGAGAGCAUUGACGCCCAGACCAGACCUUUUGUGACGGAUCUGCGGUAGAGCAUGUGUGUUGGGACCCGAAAGAUGGUGAACUAUGCCUGAAUAGGGUGAAGCCAGAGGAAACUCUGGUGGAGGCUCGUA